UACGUAGGGGGCAAGCGUUGUCCGGAAUUACUGGGCGUAAAGCGUGCGCAGGCGGUUUGUUAAGUCGAAUGUGAAAUCCCUGGGCUCAACCGAGGAAGUGCAUUCGAAACUGGCAAGCUAGAGUACGGCAGAGGAAGGUGGAAUUCCAAGUGUAGAGGUGAAAUUCGUAGAUAUUUGGAGGAAUACCGGUGGCGAAGGCGGCCUUCUGGACCGGUCCUGACACUGAGACGCGAAAGCGUGGGGAGCAAACAGG
rnacentral:rRNA from 1 species